GCCCAGCACUUGCCAACAGUGCGUAACGGAGACGUGACCGAUCGCCCAAGCGGCUAAAGAGCCGAUCAGUGGUGAAGAGGAUAAAAGUAAAAAAAAAUAAGUUAAAGUAUGAAACGAAAGCUCAAUCAGUCACUGAUGUCAAAGAAGAAAGGUAAAGUUAUUCCCGGUGAUGACACGACCAGCGGCGGUCCUGGUCAUGACUUUCUCUCAGGAGUAACUUGUCACAUUCAUCCAGCAAACUUUGGUAGAAAACGACUGAACAUUUUUCAAAGUCAAGUACAAAAUUAUGGAGGUAAUAUGAUUCAAACACUGCCAUUGUCUUCUGAGACCAUUUCAUAUAUUAUAUUUGAAGAAUCAGUAGAUGUUGUAAAGCUGAAGCAGUUUUUUAACCCGUCCGCGUAUUGUAACACGCGUUUUGUUCGGUGUACUUGGCUGGUGGAGUGUGUGAAGAAGAAAACGAAAGUUGACAGCAAAGAUCAUGAAAUUAUAUCGGUUGUGGAUCCAACUGAUAAACAUAAGAACAAAGAAUACAGUGUUAGUGAGGGUGAAGCAAAGCAGCCAUCACCUGAGCACCACCACCCAAGCAACAAGGAUGGACUCUUGGUGACUCAGUUAGGGGAACAGGAAAACCCCAUCACCAAAAUUCAUACAACAGACAUUUCAACAAAGGAAUUCUCACCAGAUAAUUUUUCUCCACAUUCUGCAAGUGUCAAGGAAAUAGAGAAUAAUAUUAUUGUCCCAUGUGACUCUCAGCUGACUCAACAAUGUUUUAAUGAGGAACAGAAGACACUCUUACACUCAGGGGAAGUGAAGACCGAGGAAGAAAAUAGAAUAAUUAACAGGUUAGAGGCGCUAAAUGAAAUCCAAACAGAACAUGAUGCAUCCCAAGAAACUGUUGUAUCUUUGGUAAAACCAUUUCCAAAGGCUCUAAAGGACAAAUUUGCCUGUGCUCGACCAUCAAGCAGUAAGGUGAGAGAUAUGAACCAUCACAUCACGGCCGAGCUAGACAAGUUGGCAGCAGCGUACAAGAGCAAGAAGGACACAUGGAGAGCACUUGGGUACCAGAAGGCCAUAUCUGCCAUCCGUCACCACCCCAGGGAGAUAACGUCAAGAGAAGAAGCUCUCAGUAUCCCCGGGGUGGGAGAGCGUCUAGCUGACAAGGUGGCUGAGAUUGUCGAGAGUGGGAAGCUGAGGAAAGUGUCGGAGGUGUGCGAGGGGGAAGAAGCCAACACCUUAAAGCUCUUCACCGGUGUGUGGGGAGCUGGACCCACCACAGCCCAGAGUUGGUACACACAGGGGUUCAGGACUCUACAAGACUUACAACUUAAGGCCACACUUACCCGCCACCAGCAGAUUGGCCUCAAACACUAUGAUGACAUCAACACUCGUAUACCUCGAGAGGAAGUGGCUGAAAUUGAAGACUACGUUCGGUACGCUGCUCUAAGCCUCAAGAAAGGUCUGAUUGUUAUGGUGUGUGGGUCAUAUCGUCGUGGCAAACUCAACUGUGGAGACGUAGAUGUUCUUAUCACACACCCAGACGGGCACUCACACCAACACCUAUUUAAGCCUCUUCUCAGCUGCCUCAAAGAAACAGGGUUUAUAACUGAUGACCUUGUAACUCAGGAAGACAAUGGAAACCAACUAAAGUAUCUUGGUGUGUGCAGGUUACCGGGGGAAGGUCGAAAGACGUCUGGAUGUUAUCAUAGUGCCAUAUGCAGAGUUUGCUCCAGCCACCAUGUACUUCACAGGAUCUGCACAUUUUAAUAGGUCAAUGAGGCUUCUGGCAAUCAAGAUGGGGAUGAGUCUCUCUGAACAUGGCCUUCGUGCAGGGAUCGUGAGACAGGGUCGGGAGAAGCUGACUGAUGGACAUCUCCUGGAGACUCCCACUGAACAAUCCAUCUUUGAGCA
rnacentral:misc_RNA from 1 species